GAAAUGAAACUUAAACCAGGAAGAAGUAUGCCUUCAAUGUACUUGAGGGGAACACAUGUGUCAUGUGAAUAGACAUGACAAAAACAGCCCUCCUUAAAUUACUUUUGGCAAUAGUGAUCAUGUUCAUUUUAAUUUUGCCAGAAUAUUUCAAGACACCAAGAGGAAACUUGUUGGAGCUAUCAUGCCUAGAAGUGUGUUUACAACCUAAUUUUACCCAUUCAUUCUCUUAUUUAAAUUUUUCUUUUGUGACUUUUCUGCAACCAAUAAGAGAAACUCAGACUGUUAUGGGAAUCUUUCUAAAUCACUCCAGCUUUCAAAACCUCACUGGGAUUUGCCAAGACAUCACACGUGAAUUUAAAACAUGCUCUUCAUGUUUGGCUUGUGAGUCCAAAGGAAACAUGGAUUUUAUUUCUCAGGAACAAACAUCAAAAGUUCUUAUCAUGAGAGGAUCAGUGGAGAUGAAGACAGAUGAUUUUCAUUCAGCUUGUCAACAUUUUAACUUCACUGUAGCUCCUAUGGUUGACCACUUGGAGGAAUACAAUAUUACCUAUAAACUAAAAACCCACCCUAGAAGGUCAACAAUCAAAGAGGAAGAUCCAACCAAGGAACCAUCUCUAAAUCAUACCUGUAGAAUUAUGGAAAACUUGAAUAAUUGUAUAAACAUUUCUUUGCACCUAGAAAUGGAUGUAGAAAGUAAGUUUUAAAGGAAAUUAUAGGGAGAAGGAGACUAGGUUAUGGACACAAAAUUAAGUAAGAGCUACCAUAUUAACUUUACUGAAAGUCAUAUAGUUGAAGAAUUUUAUUGAUGAAAUAACAAGGCUGGAAAGAAUGUUUUCAAAAGAAUGUCUUUUGAUCUGCUCAUUUCUCUUUUAAAACAUGCUUUUUAUGGAGCCCCCAGCUAUACUCAGAGGCAGAGGAGGCAUCUCUGGGUUAUGAUUUGAAGGGCACUAGAAAAACCUUCUGACCUGGAAUAACUUUUGGGAAUGCCUGUUGGCUGUGCUUGAAGUUAUACGGUCACACUUGUGUAUUAAAGGAUGUUGUUUGUUCCAUGAAGAUCACUUGGUACAUCCUAGUUCUAUUAGUUUUUAUAUUUUUACUCAUCCUCAUUAUCCGCAAAAUACUUGAAGGCCACAGGAGAGUGCAGAAGUGGCAGAGUCAUAAAUACAAACCUACAUCUCUACUUUUAAGAGGAAGUGAUUCUGAGAAACUGCGAACAUUGAAUGUGCAGGUUAUUUCAGCAGAGACCACGAAGAGGCUGCCUUUGGCUCAGGUCAAGGAUGUGCUUCCUCCAAUACCAGAGCUAGAAGUUACUUCUGUGGUACAUCAGCAAGAUCAAUAUACACGACUGUCCUUAUGAACCUCGCUGGCCAAUCUGGAUGGAACCCUUUUGAAGAGGACUCAUAAUUUUAGGAGUGAGUUAACUGGUAAAUAUUUGGUCCAGGUGAGGAUGGGACAGUAGGAACCUGUAGGAAAGUCAACUGGUUGAUGGAAGCGAAUGCAAGAAGCACUCAUUUGACCCAGGAGAUCAAAGCAACGUGUUUUUUUCAGGAAGCUGUUAUGAGUCAUGGAAAACAAGCUGAUGAAACCCAUGGAAACAGCAAGCAAAUACUCACUCUGUUGUUUAUCCAUCAUUAUACAGCUUAUAAGGGCCCUUUGAUUUUGAUUUUGAGGAACCAAAAACAAGAUUGAGGAUGAAAAUCCUCUCACUGCCCCUCCUCCAUUUCAGAUCCUGAUUUGAUGGUUGUUCCUACACAGAUGGGUUGUUGCUUUUCAGCAAACUGUUUAAGAGGACCUGGGUUAUUUGUUUAUACAUUUGUUUGCAUCUGUAAAUCUUGCCUUGUUUUUGGCACUGGGCUGUUUAAAAACUUCAAAGAUACCAAAAUGAAAUGAAUUUAAGUGAAAUACUUGAAUAUUUAAAUCUAAUACACUGUUUCUUCUGA